GCCUGUUUAUCAAAAACAUAGCCCUAAUAAUAAUUUAAGGUGAUGCCUGCCCAAUGAUAAUAAAAAUGAUUUUANUGCCUGUUUNUCAAAAACAUAGCUUCUUGGAAUUAUGUGAAGUUUUGUCUGCCCGGUGAUAUGAAUUUAACGGCCGCGUUUCGUGCUAAGGUAGCGUAAUCAUUUGCCUUUUUAUUGGAGGCUAGUAUGAAUGGAUUAACGAAGCUAAACUGUCUCUUUUUUUGUUUUUAAAACUUGGUUUUUAGGUGAAAAAUCCUAAAUUUAAGUGGAGGACGAAAAGACCCUAUAGAGUUUAAAUGUAUUUUCUUAAGAGAAUUUGUUUCCUGUAUUAAGUGAAGAGAAGUUUUUAAGAGAAGCAUUUUUAUUGGGGCAAUAAGAGAACCAUAAAACUCUAAAUUGAAUAAAUUACUAUUGUAAUAUUUUGAUCCUCUAAGAGAAAUAAGAAAAACUACCUUAGGGAUAACAGCGUAAUUCUACCAGAGAGAUCUAAUUGAAGGAAGGGUUUGCGACCUCGAUGUUGGACUAAGGGAACCUUAAAAUGUAGAAGUUUUAGAGUGUGGGCCUGUUCGGCCUUUAAUAUCUUACAUGA
rnacentral:rRNA from 1 species